rnacentral:rRNA from 1 species
AGAGUUUGAUCCUGGCUCAGGACGAACGCUGGCGGCGCGCCUAACACAUGCAAGUCGAACGAGAGAGAGGGAGCUUGCUUCCUCAAUCGAGUGGCGAACGGGUGAGUAACGCGUGAGGAACCUGCCUCAAAGAGGGGGACAACAGUUGGAAGCGACUGCUAAUACCGCAUAAGCCCACGGCUCGGCAUCGAGCAGAGGGAAAAGGAGCAAUCCGCUUUGAGAUGGCCUCGCGUCCGAUUAGCUAGUUGGUGAGGUAAUGGCCCACCAAGGCAACGAUCGGUAGCCGGACUGAGAGGUUGAACGGCCACAUUGGGACUGAGACACGGCCCAGACUCAUACGGGAGCA